rnacentral:lncRNA from 1 species
UUUGAGUUGAGAUCAACGAUUUAUUCAUUAGUUAUUGAGGUUUAAAUCUGUUGUAGGAAUUAUUAGGGUUUGGAUUAGAAUUUGGUUAGGAUUUGGUUUAGGGUUUAGGAUUUGGAUUAGGAUUUGGUUUAAGAUUAGAUUAGGAUUUGAUUUAGGAUUUAGGAUUUUAUUAGGAUUUAAGAUUCAAUUAGUUUGGCUUAAAUUUUGAAUGAAGUUCAAUAGGAUUUUAACUAGAAUUAAAUUAAGAUUGAAUUGAGAUGUAUUUGAAUGACAUUUGUGUUCUUUCUAAUAUUUCUUUAAAAAUUCUUAUUUUUUGUUUGAAAUUUCUUUGAGGUUUUUUGGAAUUUGAUUAAGCUUGCUUAGCAUUAUUAUAGUCUAAUUAGAGCAUU